rnacentral:rRNA from 1 species
CUGCAGGCUGCAACUCGCCUGCACGAAGUCGGAAUUGCUAGUAAUCGUAGGUCAGCAUACUACGGUGAAUACGUUCCCGGGCCUUGUACACACCGCCCGUCAAACCAUGAGAGUUGGCAACACCCGAAGUCGGUAGUCUAACCGCAAGGAGGACGCCGCCGAAGGUGGGGUUGAUGAUUAGGGUUAAGUCGUAACAAGGUACC